rnacentral:rRNA from 1 species
AUUGAACGCUGGCGGCAGGCCUAACACAUGCAAGUCGAGCGAGCGGCGGACGGGUGAGUAAUGUCUGGGAAACUGCCUGAUGGGGGGGGAUAACUACUGGAAACGGUAGAUCAUAACGCAUACCAUCAGAUGUGCCCAGAUGGGAUUAGCUCGUAGUUGGGGUAACGGCUCACUUAGGCGACGAUCCCUAGAUGUUCUGAGAGGAUGACCAGACACACUGGAACGGAGACACGGUCCAGACUCCGACGCGAGGCAGCGGUGGGGAAUAUCGCACAAUGGGCGCAAGCCUAUGGCAGCAAUGCCGCGUGUGUGAAGACGGCCUGCGGGUUGUAUAGCACUGUCCGCGGGGAGGCGUUACCCGCAGACGAAGCACCGGCUAACUCCGUGCCAGCAGCCGCGGUAAUCC